GUGUGACCCCCUCCCGUGCGCAGUUAACACAAUAAGUAUCCCACUGGGGAGUACGAUCGCAAGGUUGAAACUCAAAGGAAUUGACGGGGGGCCCGCACAAGCGGUGGAGUAUGUGGUUUAAUUCGAAGCAACGCGAAGAACCUUACCAGGGCUUGACAUCCCGAUGACCGGACUAGAGAUAGUCUUUUCUCUUCGGAGACAUCGGUGACAGGUGGUGCAUGGUUGUCGUCAGCUCGUGUCGUGAGAUGUUGGGUUAAGUCCCGCUACGAGCGCAACCCCUAUUGUUAGUUGCUACGCAAGAGCACUCUAGCGAGACUGCCGUUGACAAAACGGAGGAAGGUGGGGACGACGUCAAAUCAUCAUGCCCCUUAUGUCCUGGGCCACACACGUACUACAAUGGUGGUUAACAGAGGGAGGCAAUACUGCGAAGUGGAGCAAACCCCUAAAAGCCAUCCCAGUUCGGAUUGCAGGCUGCAACCCGCCUGCAUGAAGUUGGAAUCGCUAGUAAUCGCGGAUCAGCAUGCCGCGGUGAAUACGUUCCCGGGCCUUGUACACACCGCCCGUCACACCAUGAGAGUCGGGAACACCCGAAGUCCGUAGCCUAACCGCAAGGGGGGCGCGGCCGAAGGUGGGUUCGAUAAUUGGGGUGA
rnacentral:rRNA from 1 species